rnacentral:rRNA from 1 species
GUGUCAGCCGCCGCGGUAAUACGUAGGUGGCAAGCGUUAUCCGGAAUUAUUGGGCGUAAAGCGCGCGCAGGCGGUUUCUUAAGUCUGAUGUGAAAGCCCACGGCUCAACCGUGGAGGGUCAUUGGAAACUGGGGAACUUGAGUGCAGAAGAGAAAAGCGGAAUUCCACGUGUAGCGGUGAAAUGCGUAGAGAUGUGGAGGAACACCAGUGGCGAAGGCGGCUUUUUGGUCUGUAACUGACGCUCAGGCGCGAAAGCGUGGGGAGCAAACAGGAUUAGAAACCCCAGUAGUCC